UGUCAUCUAGCCAGUGGACAAAGAUGUGCAUUCAGAAGCUGCACCUUCCUUUUGGUACCAGGAGUUAUUCUAAUAACUCCUUAGAAAAGUAACUCUUCAGCAAAAUGUUACAUAGGUCUGAUACGUGCAGCCGUUUCUGAUCCACCAUGGAGUAAACAGAGCCUUAAGAAGAAAGCUUGGAUUGUGGAGAUGAUUGAGCCAGGAGAUCAACAGAAGAAGCUGUAGACUUAAAGAAAAAGCAGAUGAAACAGUAAAAAGAGCAGAGGUUUUUCUAUAGUUUGUAAAAGACUCUAGAACAAUCAGAGUGACUGAUUUAAAGCACUUCAAAGCAAUGCUGUGGUGGACUACAACGCUGGGACACUAUAAUGGACUAUAAUGGAAUGAAUGAAAAGGAAUGAGAGGGAGACCCCAGCACAAAUUCAAGUUCAGAAAAAUACAUAUAACCACAAAAUGGGUGACAGUGGUGACAUACAGGGACCAAGAUUUCCUCUCAUGUACUGCCCAGAGAAGUAUUGUCUCCUUAUUUUCAAUUACAGUUCAACCUUCAGCUGUUGUUGUUUUUUUCUGCCUUCUGUAGCCUUGCUCAAGACAUGACUUCUAUACAAAAUACUGUGAGGGUACUCUGGUGAACUUUCCUUUGAUAUUUCUUCCACUAUAAGAAAGAAUUACUGGAUUUAUUCUUCUAUAAUGGUGAAACCUGCUUGAAAAUGCCCUGGCACAUAUAGGAAUAAUUUAUUUUGCUCCAGUUAACAUGUGGAGCU